AGUGUGUGUGCAAUGGUAGAGAAAUUACAUACAGUACAUUGAUUGUAUUUUUAUCAAAAUCUGCUAUCUAAAAGAGCAUUAGUGUUGAAUAAGCUUUAGUUUAAACUUUUCUCGAUAGAUUAAACUCAUCAUUCAACAACAACAUUAGAUGAUCAAUAUUGUAACACUAGAUUGAUCAAAAUGUUAGAUUUCUGAAUACACCAGUUGAAUUUGAUCAGUAAGAAUGAGCACCAUCACAACGAGCAUAUAAUUUUAACCCCUCACACAAUCUAAUCUGCAGUGGGUGUGUGAGAUUUGUGCAUUCUUGAAGGUGUGGUUAAAUUAUCAGCUUAUAUAAAGCCAUUCUUUUAACAAGGAGGAAGAAGAACUGAAGAAAACUGGUGUGAACAUCAAAGGUACAUGUGUUUUCAAAAUACAUUAUUGUAAUGUCAAACAACAAUUUGUGUUUUUAUGCAAUGCUCCUGUAUUAGUGAAUUUCAUAAAUGUAUUUUAUUUCCUCGAGGGAUCCAAAGGCAGUUAGUACCUCACAAACAACUAAGAAAAUCUACCUCAUGAUGACAUCAAAAAAUCUUGUCAUUAAAGUUCUCUCCUGGAACAUUAAUGGUCUGAAAGCAAAAUAUAAUGAUGAGGGGAAAGCAAGAGUACUAUCUAAAACAUUUGCCAAAUAUGACAUUGUGCUUCUGCAAGAGACUCACAUGGGUCCAAAGAAUGAUGUGAAAGGCAAUGAAGCAAUGGAGAAUGAGGAUGAGGAGGAAGAGGAGGAUGAGGAGGAAGAGGAGGAUGAGGAGGACGAUGAUGAUGAGGAGGACGAGGACGAGGACGAGGAGGAGGAUGAGGACGAGGAGGAGGAGACGGAUGAUGAGGAGGAGGAGACGGAUGAUGAGGAUGAGAAAAAGAAAAUAGUCAUUCUUAAAAAUCAGCCAGCAAUCCAGGACAAUCCAGACAUCCAGGAAAAAAUUUGGUAUAUGACAAAUUUCUGUUCAAGACGCAGAGGUGUUGCCAUCAUUAUCAAUAAAAAACACAAAUAUUUGCAAGGUUCUUGUAAGGACGGAGAUUAUGCUUGGGUUUAUGUUGAGAUUGAAGGUCAGAUGUACACAUUUAUGAGUGUUUAUUACCAUCCCACUGAAACAGCUGAUCCCAUGGACAAUCUGUCCAGUUUACUAACAGAUAGGUCAGAAGCUUUUCAAAAAAUACUUGUAAUUGGUGGAGACUUCAACACAACACUUAAUCGUAAAUGGGAUCUGAAGGGGAAAAACAAAAAUCAUAGUAAACAAAGAAAAAGACUGCAGGAGUUCAUGAGUAAAGUGAAGCUCUCAGAUGUCUGGAGAGAAAAGCAUCCACGGAUGCGUAGAUACACACACGUAUCCAAGAAAUCAGAGUCCAGAUUAGACUAUGUUUUCAUCUCAAAGAAGGAUUUGGGUUAUGUGCACAGUUGUAAAAUAGAUCAGACUAAAACUCUAAAACUAUCUGACCAUUCCCCAGUGGCCCUUACACUCAAAGUUGAUGUUGAUGUUGAAAAUUUGUCCAAAGACUUUCAAAGAUUAUAAACGUUAAGUUUAUUAUUACGUCCCAGGAUUUGUAGAAGUGGGGGUGUCUUUUGUGCAUGUGCUUUGUUUGUUCUGUUUUGCUUUUUUUUUCCCUCUCUCUCUCUCUCUUUCUCUCCUUCUCUCUCAAACGUUGAUAAGGACUAACAGGUGGAGUUCAAUUAGUUGAUGAUUCUGUUGAUGACUGCACUCUUCUGAUUGGUCCGCUAGAGGAAAUAUUUGGAGUUAAAAGGCAGAGCUGAGAUGUCUGGAUUGUGGAUGCUAGGAGCAAGAAUCCUUUCUGCUGGUUGUGGUUUCUUUUGACUACAUUUUUUCUCCUGUUUAAGGAUGGCAAGGGAGAAGAAGUUUGGAACAACCAGGACUCUUCCUAGAGCUGGCCUCCUGGCCAAACUGAGCAACUGAUGGAGAAGGGCUUUGGUUAGUGUGGUGACCAAGAACCUGAUGGUCACUCUAGUUGAGCUCCAUGAUCAUAUGUGGAGACAGGAGAAAUCUACAGAAGGACAAACAUCAUUGCAACACUCCACCGAUCUGGGCUUUAUGGCGGUGUGGCCAAACUCAAUCCUCUCCUCAGUGAAGACACAUGAAAACACACUUGGAAUUUGCAAAAAAGCACCUAAAGGACCCUCAGACUGUGAGAAACAAGAUUCUCUGGUCUGAUGAACCUCAAUUCUAAGCAUCAUGUUUGAAGGAAACCAGGCACUGCUCAUCACCUGCAGAGUACCAUCCCAAAAGUAAAGUGUGCUGGUAUCAGUCUCAUGCUGUGGGGCUGUUUUUCAGCGGCAGGACUUGAGGGACUCGGAGUAGAGGAAAAGCUUAAUGCACCAAAAAAUUGAGAUAGCCUCAAUGAAAACCCAGUCCAGAACAUUCAGAACCUCAGACUGGGCAGAAGGUUUUACUUCCAACAGGUCAUCCUGGUUUCACACCGGUGCUCAUGUGUAGCUGGGACUGCUGUGUGCAACCACAUUGUUGCAUUGCUCUUGCAAACAGCACAUUAUUCAGAGCUUAAUGUGCAGGUUGUGUCCCCUGUCCACUCCUGCACUGAGACAAGCCCAGAACAGCUGGAGUAAAACCUGGGCCAAUAAACAAGAAGGUCAUCACCAGACCAAGACUCACCCGGCUGGAAGGAGGAAUCAGUGUGUGGAGUAGAGGUCUUCACAGGUCCAAAUAUUCUUACCCGAACACGAAGAGACCCGUAAAUGUGCUGCAUGGAACCAACCCGGACACAUAUUUCAUUUGAAACUGGGACCCCAACCCGUGCAGACCCGAGAAAUGCCUUAAAUCAGGGGUGUCAAACUCAGUUCCUGGAGGGCCGCAACCCUGCAGAGUUUAGUUCCAACCCUGCUCUGACACACAAACUAUGCAGUUUUCAAAUAAGCCUAAAUGACUUGAUUAUCUGGAUCAGGUGUGUUUAAUUAGGGUUGCAUCUAAACUUUGAAGGGCUCCGGCCCUCCAGGAAAUGAGUUUGACACCCCUGCCUUAAAUGUUCUACACGGACCCGACCAUUAUUCGAAAGUUGGACCCAAACCCAGCUGGGGAGACACAGCAAACUGCUAUUAACAAGUCAAUAAACAAGUUCGGGGAAAAAAAACUACUGUUUGUCCCUGACUGCGAUUUUUUUUUUUAUUAUUAUUAAUUUUUUUUAAAUUAAUUAAUUUUUAUUUAGUAAAUUUUUUUAUUUCACAUCACUCAUGAAGGAAUCCAUGAUCACUGUCCGCUUGCAAUACUAACAUUAACUCCGCCCACCCUCUGCUUCUGGCAGCUGAAGUCGCGCGGUUUUUUCUUUUCUUCCCCUUAUUUCCCGCUCACACUUUUCUCAUCCUAAUUUUGCAAGUUACAAAACACAUGCAAAGUGCUGAUUGACACUGAUCACUGCCUGGUUACCAGUAUUAUUCAAAAUAUUUUAUUUUGUGUCCAACUGAAGAAAGAAACUCAUGCAGGUUUGGAACAACUUCAAGGUGAGUAAAUGAUUUGGGGGGAGAGACAUU